CCGACCUGCACGCCGGCGCUCCUCAUAACAACAGGAAGUAUCUGCAAAACCUGGGCUUGGGUGCUUAUUUCCCAGAAUACAAAGAACCAAUUGCAGCGGCCAUCUGGUUGGUUAUCACCUGUUUGACGACACUGUGCCCUCUGCAUCGUUUGACAGGAAUCGCGUCGUCACCUAAAGGGUCAAAGGUCGCAGAGCUGGUCGGCUUCAGCAGCCUCGGAAGUGACAGUCAGCAACAGGAAGUGUUGGACCUGAAAUAAACACAACAUCCAGAUGAUCCAGUGAGACUGAAGAAAACCCAGAGGUGGCAUACGACCUGGUACUAAAUACAUUAGAGGGUUCCCCAGGCAACCAGAACGUGGAGUGUCCACCAGCAACCGAUCGUCAGCUGCAAAGCAGAGUAUGACGAGUAUGACCAGCGACUUCAGAGGCCACACCCUUGACAAUGCACACUUCAAUCCAGUGUUGUAUGUUGGAGCAGCAGUUUAUCGGCAGCUGAGAGGAAGAGGUUGGAUAAACUCAUCAGGAAGGCCAGCUCUGUUCUGGGAUGCACCCUGGACCCAGUGCAGGUGGUGGGAGACAGAAGGACUCUGGCCAAAAUAACAUCUCUGAUGGACAGAGUCUCCCACCCCAUGCACGGAAAUGUUGCUGAACUGCAGAGCUCCUUCAGUGACAGACUGCUGCAUCCUCG
ensembl:lncRNA